CAUGACUGGCUAUUUCACUGGAAACCAAACUCUUUGGUUUUACUAAAAAAUUGUCUCUAAAAACCGAUUUAUAAACAAUUAUAAACACUUAUGUAAGUUAUGAAAAAUGGGAUAUAAAACAUUAGCACGAUCGGUAAAGCAGGUCGAACUACAGGGAAGAAGAAAAAACCUGUAAACAUAUAUAUGUUAUAUAUCUUUUGGCUUUUGGGUCUUCAGUCAUCACGCUACACAGGAACUCUCACAGACACCAAUUCGUUUCGUCAAUUUUUCGUUGCAAAACGGGUUUAUAGAUUUCGGAGCCGAUCUAACUUCUAGUGAGCAAAAUGAUUGGGAAGAGGCAUUUGGAGUUGGCGAUGAAGUGGCUCCCCUCGGCAGCAACUUACGGAACAACCGCCGGCAUUGGAAUAGUUUAUUUAACCGAAUGGAAACUGAUCAUGCAAAACCUGCCGUUUUACGAAACGUUCUGGAAGGCCAGGGAGAAAGAAUAAUGACCGAAUGAGGAUUUGUGUCAAAAAUGUCUUAAUGAAUAUUGUAUGUUCUUCAGUAGAAUAAGUGAUUGUGCACGCUGAUUUAGAAAUCCUAUUUCUGGCAAUAAAAAAAAAUUCCAUAAAGGACAUUCGGGACUUGAUCAGUCAAAUGAACAACAAUGAUUGCAAAUAAAUAAAUUGUACAAAAUA